rnacentral:rRNA from 1 species
UACGUAGGGGGCAAGCGUUGUCCGGAAUCAUUGGGCGUAAAGAGCGUGUAGGCGGCUCGAUAAGUCUGCUGUGAAAGUCCAGGGCUCAACCCUGGAAGGCCGGUGGAAACUGUCUGGCUAGAGUCCGGAAGAGGCGAGUGGAAUUCCCGGUGUAGCGGUGAAAUGCGCAGAUAUCGGGAGGAACACCAAUGGCGAAGGCAGCUCGCUGGGACGGUACUGACGCUGAGACGCGAAAGCGUGGGGAGCGAACAGG